GUGCAAUCUCGGCUCACUGCAAGCUCCGCCUCCCGGGUUCACGCCAUUCUCCUGCCUCAGGCUCCUGAGCAGCUGGGACCACAGGCACCUGCCACCACGCCCAGCUAAUUUUUUGUAUUUUUAGUAGAGAUAGGGUUUCACCGUGCUAACCAGGAUGGUCUUGAUCUCCUGACCUCAUGAUCCACCCGCCUUGGCCUCCCAAAGUGCUGGGAUUACAGGCGUGAGCCACUGCACCCGGCCAAAUUUUUGUAUUUUUGGUAGGGACGGGUUUUACCAUGUUGGCCAGGCUGGUCUUGAACUCCUGACCUCAGGUGAUCCUCCCUUCUCAGCCUCCCAAAGUGUUGGGAUUACAGGCGUGAGCCACCAUGCUCAGCCUGCAUUUGCUAUUUUGAUAUCUAUUACCAAAUUUUUCUUUGGAAAUGUGCCAGUUUACACUCCCACAAAUACUUUUGUCAGCAUUAGUUAGGUAUUACAUGUUUUUAAAUCCUCAUUAAUUCAGCAAACAAUUUUAUUUUAAUUGCCAUAUAGCUUGCUAUGUGUAUGUCUCUUGAAGAAUUACCUGUUCUUUUUAUUGAGGUCUUUAUUUUUUAUUGACUUGUAACUGUUCAUUGCAUCUUAAAAAUAGUAGCACUUUGUUGUGUGCUUACUGUUGUUUUCCCUCAGUUUUUCUUGGUUUUGAACUAGUUUUUGUUUUGUUUUUGUUUUUUGCCAUAUAGAAGGGUUACAAAGUUAAAUAUUUCCAUGUUUUCCAUUAUAGCUUCUGGUAGUAACUAGAAUUUACCUAAGCCCAGAAGAAUAAAAAGUCACCUGUGUUUUAUUCUGGCUUUAUACUGUUUUCAUUUGUUCUGUUAUAAUUUUUGUAUAAGAAAUCCAGGAAUCUAUUUUGCUUCUGAAGUGGCUGUCCAAUCAGGAUUUACCUUUUACCACUUGGUUGGAGAGGUGGGGGAAGAAGAGACUGGAGGAAAUAGAAGCUGAAGACAGGACUAGAUGUGUCUCCCUCCCCAGCCUCCUUUCUCUGCAGAGGUGGAGGAAUCACGGAAGCUAUCGUGGCUUUAGGUGUUGACUUUUGUCAAUGUUUGCUGAAGCCAGGAGUGAAAUUGAGACAAUAUUCCGAUUCUUGGAACCUGAGUUAGCGUUAAAGGGGAUGACAAACAGGCUGUUGUUAGGAGGUAGUUCCAUGUAAUAGGAAGAGUUUCCACCUCCCUCAGAGGCUGCCUUUCUCGUUUCUCCAAAUGAUUUCGCGGUUGGCCUAAGUUUCCUUUACUUCUCCCUACGAUGGUGUAACAUUAGCUUGAAUGCUGACGCUAUGUGGUGGUGAGCGGCAGUGGGUGUAUCUUGCCCAUAAACCCUUGGAGGACAGUGGAGGACAGGGACUGACCAACUCACCCAAGGGUCCUCUGCAUGCACAUGGUCCCUGCACAUGGCACAUAGUUGGUGCUCAGAAGGCCUUUGCUGGAACAAAGGAAAACACAAGCACCCACAGCAGUGAUGGCUGAUUUUGUCGGGUCUGCAAUGGAGAUUAGUCACCACUAGGUGUCAUGGUGAGUCAAGAAACAUUUUGGCUCAUGGUUACAAAUUAUGCGUUUACUGUAUUCAUCUUCGUGCAUGCACACAUGCAAUGUUUUACAAAGCAUCUGUUGAGUGUCUACGGCACAACACACACGUUCUGGUGCUGGAGAUCCUGCCCUGGCUGAGCUUCUGGACCUGGUGGGGAGAAAUCCACAAUGAGUACUGAGACGACCGGCAAAAGCCCGGUGAAGGCACCUAGGAGUAGGGCCUGCUUACCCUGGAGGAGUCGGGAGCAGCUUCCACAGCAAGGAGGCUUCUAAGAAAUGAUCUCCAGUGCCCAGGCUCUGAUGCCCAACAGACCUGAAGUUACAUCCCAACCUGAACAGGCGGCUUUUGCUCUCCAGGCCUUCAUUGCCCCACAGUGGGAACAAUAAUAAUAUGCACCUUCUAGGUACCCAAAAGCACAAGAGACAGUGAACGGAAAGUGCUUGGAAGCCCCGUGCCCAGGUGGUGCUGGCCCCAGCUGAACUGCGGGGAUAGAUGUUGAGUGUCCAGGUUCUAGCAUCAUAGAACAGAAUCCGGCCUGUUGGGAAAUCCUGCCUACAAGUAUACCUCCAUUAAUUAGUGUCUUCUGUGAACAUUUUUAUUAAAAAAAGAAGAAAAGCUUCUCAACCCAAGCCCAAGGGCAUGUCCUGAUUUGUUGAAAGUAGUUGUAAGACCAUUUCAUUAUUCACUCUACUUUUUCAUAUGUUGGAAAUGUUUUAUAAGAAUAAAUACAAUAAUAUCAGGCUGUGUGCGGUGGCUCAUGCCUGUAAUCCUAGCACUUUGGCAGGCUGGCCAACAUCAUGAAAGCCUGUCUCUACUAAAAAUACAAAAAAUUAACUGGCAUGGUGGCGCGCACCUGUAAUCCCAGCUACUCGGGAGGCUGAGGCACAAGAAUUGCUUGAGCUGGGGAGGCGCAGGUUUCAGUGAGCUGAGAUUGUGUCACUGCACUCCAUCCAGGCUGGGAGACAGAGUGAGACCUUGUCUCAAAGAAAAAAAAAAAGAAAUACAAAGAUAUCAGCUUAAAACAAAAGAACUCAUUUGAAAUUUGCCAGUCUUUUAAAUUUUGUUUUCUUUUUUUAAUACUAUUUGUUUUUGAGAGUCUCACUAUGUUGCCCAGGCUGUUCUCAAACUCCUAGGCUCAGGUUCCUCCCAUCUCAGCCUGUGGAGUAUCUGGGAUUACAGGCACAUCCCGCUGCACCCAGCUUCCUUUCCUUAUAAGUUCAAUGAAACCGAAUUGUAUGCUUUUGCUUUUUAAAAAGCUGUGCACAAAAAUGUCAUUUUAUAUAUUAAUAAUUAUUUCCCUAAAUCUAUUCUUUUGCGUAUAGGUUUGGAGAACCUCUGGAAUGAUACUCCCAAAAUAUUAUUUUUUAAGAAAUUAUUUUUGGGUGGUGGCCUAUUGGGUAAAUUUUUCCUGAACUUUCUAUUUUGUAUUCUUGUCAUUAUUUGGAUAGUUUUACAGAAACAAAAGUUGUAUUCUGUGAACACAGAGGGAGAAAGAGAAAUAAUAAAAUUAUUUCCCCUUCCACUGAGCUGUAUGCAGCAAGAGUUUGGGGGCAGUGAGGUCCCGGGGUCGGUGGAAAGAGGGGACAGGGAGCCACAGGGCGGGUGCUGAGGUGGACACAGCCUUGGGGAGCACAUUGCCUACUCAGUCCAUGCCCCCAUCACACCCUUUGCCUGCAACGCGCCUCCAGCUCUGGAACUCAUCCUCCACUAACCCGGCACCCACAGGCCAAGCUGUCACGCAAGGAAGCGGCCACGCGAGGGCGUGAUCUACCAGGGAUCCGUGCCUGGGUCUGUGCAUCCUCCCUUCUGCAGCCAGAAGAAACCCCUUUGAAGAAGCGGGUGGAUGACAAGCUUGCAAUACACCGGGGAGGGGAGCAGCAUCCCCAGAGGCUUUUCCAUGCACCCUCUUUCUGAGCAGCUCUGGAUACCCUGGGUCAGCUCCCACACAAAUUGCUCAUAACUCAUUAGUCACCCUUAAAAUUAAUCUCUCCAACAGUGACAUCCUGUACUCAGGCGGUGUCUUAACCCCCUGAAAAUGCCUUCGUGGCAAUGUCCCUGUGGCAUAAGCAUGCCCCAUUUUGCAAGGGAGGGAAUUAAAUUUCAGAGAAGUUAAGCGAUCCAGGGAAUUUCAGUAGCAGAAAUAAGUCUAGAACGGAGAUUACCCAACUUGACUCAAAUGGCAAAACGUUUGUCAUGGGGAAUUUAAUUCUUUAAACCUUUUCGUUGCUUUAUCUCCUUGCUUGGAAUAUUCACCAUCCAUGUGCCCACUAAAUCCUGACUGCUCUGAGACCACGUUCUUCAUGCCAGUCUUAUCUCCCGUGCCUCCUGGGCUUAGGAAUCUGAUGAGCCUGAGUGUGGAUCUGGGUCCUGCCCCCUGACUGUGUGGGGUUACCCGGAUUCCCUGAACUUCGGUCUCCCCUCAUGGAAAAUGGGGAUGGUAUGCCUUCCUACAUGAAGGCGAUCUCAAUAUAGUUACCAGCUGGCGACUAUACAGGCAGUUGUCAGUCAGCCUGUGGGACACAUGGGUGGCUGGAUCAGUCUGGCAGGAGCAGGUGGAGAGAAUUACCAGGUGAUAUGCUGACCCCACGAGGACCAAGGACCGCACUGCUCAAGCCUUCACCUGCCACUUGGCAUUAAAGCCUCUUUACCCUUGUCUCCCCAACCGGACAAUACAUUCCUAGGUGGGAGGGCCCCUGCCUUUCACUGCUGCUGUCUUGGAGCUAGGCAAUGUAAUUUCAUGUAUCAGAUGACGGCUGUCAAGCACUAAGUUUUGUUUGUUCCUUCUGCUGUCUCCUAAGUUCACAAAUAAACAACAGCCCUGAGAAUCCUCAUGGCGGCUUUGGAACCUCGAGCAUCAUAAAGUAUAUUCGGGAGUCCGGAGGGCCUUGGCUCCCUUGUGCUGGCAGGGCAGAAUGAAGCUGGGUGCAUUGUGUGUGCCCCACCAGCACAAGCGCUAGCAUUUGUCUCAAUGCCGGGGAUUCCUGGAGCACCCGCUGUUCUCUAGACGCCCCCUUUACC
rnacentral:lncRNA from 1 species